CAAGAACAAUUUCAUUAGCUUCAUGAACAAAUGAGGACUUCACCUUCUGUGGCUGUACACACCUCACUUUCAGUAAAAAAAAAAAAAAAAAAAAAAGGCAGAGUAAAUAUCCUUAAACAGUCCCAUAUUUGAAGUGUUGUGAUAUAGAAAUACAUCAGUUAUGUUUAGCUAUGUGGAAUUUAUUUAAUUAUAUCAUCUGAGACAUUAUAGCCAUCACCAGUCACUAGCAAUGAUUGUGACUCCCUUUUGAGCACAUCACUUACGUUAUAAAGUGAUACAGUUGUUAUGUCAUACAUAACAUGUUCCUGUGAUCUCAUAAGACAGACAGAAAAUUAGCUGUAUACCUGCCAGAUGAAGUAAGGGGAGCUCUGCAGUUAGAUCAACGACCCGUUGCAUACAGCUUAUGGGAGACAAAAAUUGGAUAGAGACAGCUGGGGAGCACAAGUAAUAACAAAACCACAUUGGCAACACUAUUGACAGAAGCCGUCAGCUACCACUUCCUUCUCAAUUUUUUGUAAGCAUCACAACAGAGAGGGGAUUUGAAGAAACAGAGGUUGGAGUUCACCACCUUUUUAGUCUGCUUGAAUGACUGAGGAAGGCUUUAAAAAGCCACCUCAGGCUUAAUCUCGUAGCAGCCAAUUCUCACAAACAGUGAGGUCCCUCUGCAUGAAGAGCACACAGCUUCUGUGAUGCCAGACCACCUGCAGAUGCCACCUAAGAGAAAGCAAUCAACAGCUCGGUUUUCACUGGGCUAUCCAAACAAUCAAUUUGCUCAAAUCUUAUCAGUUCUGUAAGGUGAUUUUACCUAUGGACGAAGAAAUUUCUGCACAAAUUCCUGUGAGCCUUUCACAACUCUGUGGAAAAAAUUUUUACCCAUCAGUGAAAUUCCAGCAUUUUAACUUCAGAAAACAGAAAAAUAAACUGUCUUUGAAGGAAGCCAGCCUCAGACUAGACAGGAGAUACUAACAGAAAUUUGUAGAAAGAUGUCUUCUGAAUUAUGGGUAUUUGCAUAGUAAAGUUACUUCCAUGUGAAACAGGACACUGAUGAAACAUAUACUAACUACCACAUGAAUUUAUAGAUAUGCUUUCCUGGUGCUACAUUAAUUUUUUCCCAAAAUACAGUAAAAUUG
rnacentral:lncRNA from 1 species